rnacentral:rRNA from 1 species
GAUGAACGCUGGCGGCGUGCCUAAUACAUGCAAGUCGAGCGAACAGACGAGGAGCUUGCUCCUCUGACGUUAGCGGCGGACGGGUGAGUAACACGUGGAUAACCUACCUAUAAGACUGGGAUAACUUCGGGAAACCGGAGCUAAUACCGGAUAAUAUAUUGAACCGCAUGGUUCAAUAGUGAAAGACGGUUUUGCUGUCACUUAUAGAUGGAUCCGCGCCGCAUUAGCUAGUUGGUAAGGUAACGGCUUACCAAGGCAACGAUGCGUAGCCGACCUGAGAGGGUGAUCGGCCACACGGGAAGUGAGACACGGUCCAGACUCCUACGGGAGGCAGAAGCAGGGAAUCUUCCGCAAUGGGCGAAAGCCUGACGGAGCAACGCCGCGUGAGUGAUGAAGGUCUUCGGAUCGUAAAACUCUGUUAUUGGGGAAAAACAAAUGUGUAAGUAACUAUGCACGUCUUGACGGUACCUAAUCAGAAAGCCACGGCUAACUACGUG